AUGUUACACACCUGUCUGCUCUUAUGGAUCUUAGCAUCUUCUUUACAAGACUCAAGAACAACGAGCAUGGCGCAAGAAACAGCAAGCUGCCCACCCAAGGCCUGCGGCAACCUGACCAUCUCGGAUCCAUUCUGGCUUGUCCAAGAGCAAGGAAUGGAGACGCCAUGUGGUUUGAUAGACUACCAGGUGUACUGCUAUAACAACAGCCCAUUCCUGAGGAGCACCAUCCACGACGGGUUUGGAAUCCUCAACAUCUUCUACAAGAAUCGCACCUUCCUCACUGCCGAUAUCAACAAAAUGGAGGACUUCAGCAGGUGCCAAGUUCCGAUCACCAAUACAUCCUUCAAAAUCGGCUUUCUGCCAUUCAACAUCAGCCAUGCCAACCGAGACCUGCUGUUCUUCUAUGAUUGUGUUGGUAACCCAGUGGCACCGCAGCUGCGACAUGGACUUGUGCCGAUGCAUUGUGGCAACAACUCAUUUGUUCAUCUCGGCCGAGGGCCCUACAAUGCUUCUCAUGACUAUGGAGAGUACUUCAUAGAGGGUUGCAAGACCACCCUCGUGCCAGUACUGGGAGCAUCAGCAAAGACGGCGAACGCAGGUGACUAUGAACAAUUAAUCAGGGAUGGUUUUCUUUUAUCAUGGCCGGCGGUACCUGAUCAGUUUUCAAGAGAAGAUGUUAGGCCCAACAAGAAGUUAAUUUUGAUAGUUUCUCUGGCUGCCACAAUCAGCUUGCUAACAUGUCUAGUUUGGGGGGUGCACCGACAGAAGCAAAGGAUUUGUCUUCUUAUCCUCCCAAAGCAGACUGGUAAUAAAUCGAGCAUGGAAGAAAUGCUAAGGAGGUAUGGAUCUUUGGCUCCGAAAAGGUACAAGUACUCAGAGCUGAAACAAAUGACUAGCUCUUUCAAGGAUAAACUUGGAGAAGGUGGAUAUGGCACGGUAUUUAGGGGUAGCCUACAGGAUGGCUGUGUGGUUGCUGUGAAGCUCCUAAAAGUUUCCAAAGGCAAUGGAGAGGAGUUCCUAAAUGAGGCAAUUAGCAUUGGUAGGACAUCACAUAUUAACAUUGUCGGUCUGCUCGGUUUUUGCUUAGAAGGAGUCAAGCGAGCCCUUGUUUAUGAGUAUAUGGCUAAUGGUUCACUGGAGAAGUACAUUUACAUAGAGAAUUCAGAUCUAGUUAUUGGAUGGGACAAGUUACAGCAAAUAGCACUUGGCAUCGCACGUGGAUUGGAAUAUUUGCAUCAAGGAUGUAGUACUCGCAUCAUCCAUUUUGACAUCAAGCCUCAGAAUAUACUUCUAGAUCAAGAUUUUUGUCCCAAAAUUGCCGAUUUCGGUUUAGCCAAACUUUGUCACCUCAAGGAUAGCAUCCUCUCUGUCGCCGAAGCAAGAGGUACCAUUGGAUUCAUUGCUCCAGAAGUAUUCUCUAGAGGUUUUGGAGUCGUUUCUACAAAGUCAGAUGUCUAUAGCUAUGGAAUGAUGCUCCUGGAAAUGGUAGGAGGAAGGAUAAAUAAAGAAAAAGGGAAUACAGAGAGCUCAAGUGAUCUGUAUUUUCCAAACUGGAUUUAUGACAAUAUAGCAGAACAGGUACAAAGUUGUGAAGUCAUCUGCGACCUUGAAGAAGCCAUGAGAAAGAUUACCUUAGUGGGCCUAUGGUGCAUACAAACUAACCCUGGAAACCGUCCUACGAUGAGCAAGGUGAUUGAUAUGUUGGAAAAGAGGAUCAACGAAUUGGAGAUGCCACCGAAGCCGUUCCUUUCGUGUCCCUCGAUCCCGACAAGCUUGUCGUCCCAUACAAGUUACGAUUACAGAUCAUCGUAUUGCUCCGCAUCCCCUGCUCUGUUACCAUGCAUAGCCCAAAAGUAG
rnacentral:rRNA from 1 species